rnacentral:rRNA from 1 species
AACGAACGCUGGCGGCAUGCUUAACACAUGCAAGUCGAACGGAUAGCUUGCUAUCAGUGGCGCACGGGUGAGUAACACGUGGGAACCUACCUUUUAGUUUGGGAUAACUUUGGGAAACUAAGGCUAAUACCGGAUACGCUUUGCAGCUUGGCGCUGUAAAGGAAAGAUUUAUCGCUAAAAAGAUGGGCCCGCGGUGGAUUAGCUUGUUGGUGGGGUAAAGGCUUACCAAGGCAACGAUCCAUAGCUGGUCUGAGAGGAUGAUCAGCCACACUGGGACUGAGACACGGUCCAGACUCCUACGGGAGGCAGCAGUGGGGAAUAUUGGACAAUGGGGGCAACCCUGAUCCAGCCAUGCCGCGUGUGUGAAGAAGGCCUGGUGUAAG